rnacentral:rRNA from 1 species
CAUUGCCGGGUAGCUAAGUUCGAAAGAGAUAACCGCUGAAAGCAUCUAAGCGGGAAACUUGCCUUGAGAUGAGAUUUCCCAGGAACUUGAUUCCUUUGAAGGGUCGUUCGAGACCAGGACGUUGAUAGGCUGGGUGUGGAAGUGCAGUAAUGCAUUAAGCUAACCAGUACUAAUUGCCCGUAAGGCUUGUCCCUAUAACCUUGAUGGGUUAGGAGACGACGAGUAUGGCGUAUGCGAUUGUUGAUGCAUCACGCCCGCUAACUGCACACUGAAGAUGAUUUCAAGGUGUG